GCAUCCUGCCAUACUGGAACUGAUGCAGCUUGAGAGUAAUAAAGAGGUUCAGACUCCAGAGGAGAAGAAAAAGAUCUAGAGAAAGCAGGAAGAUGACAGACAUAUUCCUUCAGAUAAGUAGGGGGAUUGUGCUGUCUUCCAGAUUUUCUGGAAACAUUAGGUGAUGUGGAAGAAAGCAAAGCAGGAGGAGAAAUAUCAGGGUUGAAAGGAGGACUGUAAACUGGAUUGGAAGAAGGAGAAACUGGGGCAGAAGGAGAAGGAGGAGAGGAACAGAUGGGGACAGAUAAGUCUGUCUCAGAAAGGGAAUGCUCAAGAGGAGGAACAAAAGGAAAAGAAGAGGGAGAAACAGAAGGAGUAGGGUUAACAGAAGAAACAGAUUUAAAAGGAAAAGAAAUUUCAUGAAAGACAACAUCCCUGGACACAAAUCACUUUUUGGAAGUGAGAUCAUACAGUCUAUAACCCUUUUUAGCCAAAGGAUACCCUAGGAAGACACAGGAAAUGGCCCUAGGUUUCAACUUGUCCCUUUGAGGAUAUGAAGACAUAUGAAAUGGCCCUAGGUUUAAACUUGUCCCUUUGAGGAAUUGGGACAACAGCAUAGGCAAGGCAUCCAAAGGCCCUUAAAUGGGAGUAAGUAGGUGCCUUUCCAUGCAAAAUUUCAUAAGGGGAUUUGCCUUGAAGGAGCUUGGAGGGUAUUCUGUUAAUAAGGUAUGUAGCAG
rnacentral:lncRNA from 1 species